UUUGCAGAUGGGGUGACUCAGAUUCACCAUUUCUAAGACCUCUGAUCUCUCUCUCUUCUUGAUGUGAGAAGUCAUGAGAACUUGUACCUCCAAUCUAUCCAGCCAGUUGUGGCAGGAGAGGAAGGUGUGUGUUGAGCAAGAUGGAGAAGCAGGGCACGUGCAUUACUAACUCAUGAGCGCACGCACCACUGAACAUACACAUGAUAUUUCUUGGCUGGAGUUAUAUAUAUACAUGAUGUAUGAAUCUUACCUAGCUAUAGUAUUCACAGAUCAUGGUUUUCGAUCGCUAGCUAGUUCGUGUGAGUUAGUUCUUCAUGUGCCCGUCUUCACCAUCAUGACCACAGCACCUUAUAUAUGUUUGAUGGCGUCAAGAGCCAAGAAUACUAUUCCAGAUCGAAAAGCAUCCUCCCUCCAAGAAUUUCUGAGAAACUCAGAUAUUUACAGAAGCUUCAAGUUCCGGGCACGGAUUGAAUAAGGGGAAUAUCGAGUAUAUAUUAAUGGGCGGUUCUUCAACAAGGUCAUGGCCGUGGUGGAUAACCAUUGACUGGAUGUUAUUAAGAUAUGGUGUCAUUCAUCAAAGAACCCGAAUCUUUUAAGAAAUGAUGAAGGGUACUGUUAAUUGACCAUCUAGCAGUAAGUUCCAUUUUGAUAAUCUCUCUUUUCUUUCUCUCUCUCUCUCUCUCCUCUGUGUGUGUGUGUGUGUGUUUGUGGUUGAUAGAACGAAUUUUUAUGAGAUAAAUACGAAUUAAACGCACAAAGAAUGCUGUUUGCAUUCACUGAUCAGUGUUUGUGUUAUAUAUACGUUUCCAGCCAAUUAUAUAUGCAUUAUUAGGUUUUGGUUAA